rnacentral:RNase_P_RNA from 1 species
UCGCUGCUUGUUUACAAGGAGAGGAAAGUCCGGGCUCCGUAGAGUAAGAGGGCAGUUAACGGCUGCUAAGGGUAACCUUAAGGAAAGUGCAACAGAAAAUAGACCGCCAUAAUUUUUAAUCGUGGUAAGGGUGAAAAGGUGGUGUAAGAGACUACCAAUAGCUUAGGAGACUAAGUUAGUUUUGUAAACCCCCUUUGGAGCAAGACGAAAUUGGAAAGGUUAAGGGCUACUCGUCCAGCUUUCAGGGUAAGUUGCUAGAAACUAUAAGCGAUUAUAGGGCUAGAAAAAUGAUUAGUUAACACAAAACCCGGCUUAUUUAAUG